rnacentral:lncRNA from 1 species
AGAGAAUUUUGCCCGGGAGCGCACCUGUAGGUCCUUCUGAACGACGUCGCCAGGGAGAGAAAAAGAUAGUUUUGUUCUUGGCAUCCUGGCUUGGAGCAUCUGAGAAACAGCAAGUUUUCCCCAGACAUCGGUUCUGUAUUUCCCAUCGGAGCGAGUCCAGCGAAGAGCAGCAUGUUAAGACAUUAACUGCCCAAGGCUGUUUCCUUGGACUCCUUUAUCUGUGAAAUGAAGCAAAACUACACUGCUUGGAUGGAGUGAGAAAAGAAAGAGCUCAGUGAGAGCAAGUGACUUUCCCAACAUUAUGGAGAGAGGAGGUGCUGUUACUGGUACCAUCCUGGACCAAGGUCAGUACACUUGGCUGACUAAGCUCAGGAGGCAGUAAGCAGCCUCCAAAAAGCAGUGGGGGGCAGUGCAUGCAGUCUCUUCAUUGUCAAAACAACAGUAGGCUUCAUGCAGCCAAAUGAGUUCUCUUUAAUACCUUGAAAGGACCCUGGAAAAGCCUUGAGCCUGCGCAGUGUGACAAGGCCAGGAGAAAUCCUUCACCCUGUCCAUCUUUACUUAGCACCUCCCGUUUUGAUGUGAAGUUUCUAGGUUUUGUCAUGGCCACUGUGGUUGCUAUAGAAACAGAGCAACAA